GCUGGGCAUGGUAGUGUGUGCCUGUAAUCCCACCUACUUGGGAGGCUGAGGCAGGAGAAUUGCUUGAACCCAGGAGGUGGAGGUUGCAGUGAGCCAAGAUCAUGCCACUGCACUCCAGCCUGGGUGAUAGAGCGAGACUCUGUCUCAA
rnacentral:SRP_RNA from 1 species